rnacentral:rRNA from 1 species
GGGCCCGCACAAGCGGUGGAGCAUGUGGUUUAAUUCGAUGCAACGCGAAGAACCUUACCUACUCUUGACAUCCAGAGAAGCCAGCGGAGACGCAGGUGUGCCUUCGGGAGCUCUGAGACAGGUGCUGCAUGGCUGUCGUCAGCUCGUGUUGUGAAAUGUUGGGUUAAGUCCCGCAACGAGCGCAACCCUUAUCCUUGUUUGCCAGCGAGUAAUGUCGGGAACUCCAGGGAGACUGCCGGUGAUAAACCGGAGGAAGGUGGGGACGACGUCAAGUCAUCAUGGCCCUUACGAGUAGGGCUACACACGUACUACAAUGCUACGGACAAAGAGCAGCUAACUCGCGAGAGUACGCAAAUCUCAUAAACCGUGGCUCAGUUCAGAUUGGAGUCUGCAACUCGACUCCUUGAAGUUGGAGUCGCUAGUAAUCGCAAAUC